rnacentral:rRNA from 1 species
CCUACGGGAGGCAGCAGUGGGGAAUAUUGCACAAUGGGGGAAACCCUGAUGCAGCGACGCCGCGUGAGUGAGGAAGUAUUUCGGUACGUAAAGCUCUAUCAGCAGGGAAGAAAAUGACGGUACCUGACUAAGAAGCCCCGGCUAACUACGUGCCAGCAGCCGCGGUAAUACGUAGGGGGCAAGCGUUAUCCGGAUUUACUGGGUGUAAAGGGAGCGUAGACGGAAUUGCAAGUCUGAUGUGAAAAUCCGGGGCUCAACCCCGGAACUGCAUUGGAAACUGUACUUCUAGAGUGUCGGAGAGGCAA